CCUACGGGUGGCUGCAGUGGGGAAUAUUGGACAAUGGGGGGAACCCUGAUCCAGCCAUGCCGCGUGUGUGAAGAAGGCCCUCGGGUUGUAAAGCACUUUCAGUGAGGAAGAACGCCUGGUGGUUAAUACCCAUCAGGAAAGACAUCACUCACAGAAGAAGCACCGGCUAACUCCGUGCCAGCAGCCGCGGUAAUACGGAGGGUGCGAGCGUUAAUCGGAAUUACUGGGCGUAAAGCGCGCGUAGGUGGCUUGAUAAGCCGGUUGUGAAAGCCCCGGGCUCAACCUGGGAACGGCAUCCGGAACUGGCAAGCUAGAGUGCAGGAGAGGAAGGUAGAAUUCCCGGUGUAGCGGUGAAAUGCGUAGAGAUCGGGAGGAAUACCAGUGGCGAAGGCGGCCUUCUGGACUGACACUGACACUGAGGUGCGAAAGCGUGGGUAGCAAACAGGAUUAGAUACCCUGGUAGUC
rnacentral:rRNA from 1 species